AAAUUGAAGAGUUUGAUCAUGGCUCAGAUUGAACGCUGGCGGCAGGCCUAACACAUGCAAGUCGAACGGUAACAGGAAGCAGCUUGCUGCUUCGCUGACGAGUGGCGGACGGGUGAGUAAUGUCUGGGAAACUGCCUGAUGGAGGGGGAUAACUACUGGAAACGGUGGCUAAUACCGCAUAAUGUCGCAAGACCAAAGAGGGGGACCUUCGGGCCUCUUGCCAUCAGAUGUGCCCAGAUGGGAUUAGCUUGUUGGUGAGGUAACGGCUCACCAAGGCGACGAUCCCUAGCUGGUCUGAGAGGAUGACCAGCCACACUGGAACUGAGACACGGUCCAGACUCCUACGGGAGGCAGCAGUGGGGAAUAUUGCACAAUGGGCGCAAGCCUGAUGCAGCCAUGCCGCGUGUAUGAAGAAGGCCUUCGGGUUGUAAAGUACUUUCAGCGGGGAGGAAGGUGUUGUGGUUAAUAACCACAGCAAUUGACGUUACCCGCAGAAGAAGCACCGGCUAACUCCGUGCCAGCAGCCGCGGUAAUACGGAGGGUGCAAGCGUUAAUCGGAAUUACUGGGCGUAAAGCGCACGCAGGCGGUCUGUCAAGUCGGAUGUGAAAUCCCCGGGCUCAACCUGGGAACUGCAUUCGAAACUGGCAGGCUUGAGUCUUGUAGAGGGGGGUAGAAUUCCAGGUGUAGCGGUGAAAUGCGUAGAGAUCUGGAGGAAUACCGGUGGCGAAGGCGGCCCCCUGGACAAAGACUGACGCUCAGGUGCGAAAGCGUGGGGAGCAAACAGGAUUAGAUACCCUGGUAGUCCACGCCGUAAACGAUGUCUACUUGGAGGUUGUGCCCUUGAGGCGUGGCUUCCGGAGCUAACGCGUUAAGUAGACCGCCUGGGGAGUACGGCCGCAAGGUUAAAACUCAAAUGAAUUGACGGGGGCCCGCACAAGCGGUGGAGCAUGUGGUUUAAUUCGAUGCAACGCGAAGAACCUUACCUGGUCUUGACAUCCACAGAAGAAUCCAGAGAUGGAUUUGUGCCUUCGGGAACUGUGAGACAGGUGCUGCAUGGCUGUCGUCAGCUCGUGUUGUGAAAUGUUGGGUUAAGUCCCGCAACGAGCGCAACCCUUAUCCUUUGUUGCCAGCGAUUAGG
rnacentral:rRNA from 1 species